rnacentral:lncRNA from 1 species
UUUUCCGGAAUAGUAAUUUUUUUCCGGAAAAAGUAAGAUAUUUAUUUGCGGAAACGUAAAUUUUUUUCCGGAAUUCGUCAUCUUUUUUUCUGGAAAAGUAAUACCAAUUUGCGGAAACGUAAAAACGCCGCUACUUAUUUCGGAAAAGUAAUGCACGAAAAUGCGGAAACGUGAAAUUGGACUUUUGGAAAAAAAAUAACUACUAAAGGACAUGUUAGCGCCGACAUGAGUUGUAAGAAAAGAUUUCCAAAACAACCAUAUCAUUAAGAAGGAAUGUUUACAUGCUAUACUCUCGUACUAGUAUUACAGGGUUCUUGUGGCGUUCACCUUAGACACACAUCUUUUUAACGAUGUUUAACAAGAAAAUCCCUAUUUAGCGGACAAGCAAUUUUUUUUUCUGUUAUUGAAUAUCGAGAAAGAAAAUAAAUCCCGAAAUUAAUUUGGAACUUUGAUACUCAAUAGUUUCCCAUCAAAAUAUUCACAAUUAGUGUUCGUCCAGUGGCAUAUAUAACAAUCUUAUUUCUAUAUGCAAUCAACAAUGAGCAAAACCCUAACCUUAUAGUCAUCUAUAAAAGACCCCGAAAUGAUAAAUGUAAAAACAAUUCAAACGAGAAAACUAACGGCCUGAUUUAUGUACAAAAUGUGAAAAUUCCUUGAUAACCUGAAUUUUCUUAAUUAUUUGCCUACAAUAUAUAAGUCACUGUUUAAGAAAAAUAAAAAAUAAAAUUCUGGGACUAUUAUAUUAACGUUAGUAUAAUAGUCCCAGAAUUAAAGUGUUGAUAAAAUAAGAG